GCUGGGUGUGGUGGAGCACGCCUGUAAUCCCAGCCACUUGGGAGGCUGAGGCAGGAGGAUAGUGAGUUCAAAGCCAGCAUCAGCAACUAGAGGCCCUAAGCAACUCAGCGAGACCCUGUCUCAA
rnacentral:sRNA from 1 species